CUUCACGGAACCCAGCCACAACGGCCGGUCCCGGUCGCGGUCCUGGCCGUAGGUGGCCAGGAGUGCCUGCGCCUC
rnacentral:antisense_RNA from 1 species